GUAGCUUCUUCCUUCUGCACAAGGAUUGUGAUACUUUCAUCUCUUGGAGGCUCACAUGGGCAUGCCGUGGCUAUGAAUUUUGGAAUGUCAUCCCCCGGCAUCAACACAGUUUUUUUAGAGUUUAGGAAGAGAAGUGAUGAUUACCACAACAGGAAAAGCUGGUUUCUGGUAGGAGGAAGCUAAUUCUGCUUGUAUUUGAGUCUGUGCCAAAGAUUGAGUGUUGAUGAUGCCAUGAGAUUGAAGAAAUGAUUGAAGCUUAGUCCAAUGUAAGCAGCAGCAAAAGAAGCCACAAAUGAAGAUUAAACAGACAAAGAGAAGGGCUGAGCCCAGAGGAAAUCCAAUUGACACACGGCUUGCAGCAGUGUCCUGAAGCUCCAUUUUCUCACUCUAGUGUUGUUGUUGUUGUGUCUCUUCUCAUAGUACCUGAAUGAGUGAAACCAGGGAAUAUUUAAAUAAGAACACAAGUGAGGCACCUUUGCAACUUUGCUUUAGAUUAGAUAGUUGAUGGUGGUGGUCUGGUGGAGUGUACUUGCUAGUGGGUGGACUGUGGAGAGUGACAUUUAUUAUUGAGCUUCAUAUGAUAUGAGUCAGUGUUGAGUGAGUGGUGACACUUUUCAUUUAGUACGGAAAGAAGAAAAUGGUUCCACACUUCUGUUUAUGGAAAGAGAGCAAGAAAUUAUAGUGUUCCUAGUGUGUAUUUGAGUGCAGAUUUAACUUGUCACUCAAACUUCUGUUCAAGUCCGAUUCUAGACCAAUCGAUUACACAAGUCACACUUGUCGAGUUCCCCCCAUUCAGCAUCUAAAAGAUUCAGGGACCUUGAUAUGAAGAAUCUCAGGUUUUUUUGGCUGUUGUGUGCAUGAUCAAGGUCUAAUUUUUCUCAAAAUGUUUUUUUUUUUUAUAGAAUAUUUGAUAAUAUCAUCUUAGAAUACUUUAGACUAUACUAAAUUCAUUGAUGACCAAAAAUCAUAUUAUUCAAGCAUCAAACUUAGUAGUGCUUAACAUGAUGGAGUCGUUGUAAAAUAUCUAAAUUCUAUAAAGACUAAUGAUAAGAUCAAAAUAAUAUAUAUAAAUAGAUUCAAUCCACAUCUCAUAUGUGAGUCUUAUAAAAUUAAAUUAGACUCAAAUCUAAAUUAUAAGAUGAUGUCAAAAUUUAUCAUAAUAAUUAUAGUUGAAUCUAAUGAAUCACCAA